AGUCACUGAUGAUUUUAAAUAUAAGAGUAGUGGACAGAAGUGGUUUCUGAGACGUUUUGCACUGAGACU
rnacentral:snoRNA from 1 species